rnacentral:rRNA from 1 species
AUUGAACGCUGGCGGCAUGCCUUACACAUGCAAGUCGAACGGUAACAGGUCUUCGGAUGCUGACGAGUGGCGAACGGGUGAGUAAUACAUCGGAACGUGCCCGAUCGUGGGGGAUAACGAAGCGAAAGCUUUGCUAAUACCGCAUAAGAUCUACGGAUGAAAGCAGGGGACCGCAAGGCCUUGCGCGAACGGAGCCGCCGAUGGCAGAUGAGGUAGCUGGUGGGAUAAAAGCUUACCAAGCCGACGAUCUGUAGCUGGUCUGAGAGGACGACCAGCCACACGGGGACUGAGACAGGGCCCAGACUCCUACGGGAGGCAGCAGUGGGGAAUUUUGGACAAUGGGCGAAAGCCUGAUCCAGCCCUGCCGCGUGCAGGAUGAAGGCCUUCGGGUUGUAAACUGCUUGUGUACGGAACGAAAAGACUCUUUCUAAUAAAGAGGGUCCAUGACGGUACCGUAAGAAUAAGCACCGGCUAACUACGUGCCAGCCGCCGCCGUAAUAC